UUUCGCAGUGGCCCAAGCUUCACACCGACAAACCGGCAGACGAGCACAGAUACAAAAGAAUCCGUGAUCAGGCUGCCUCCACAUCUGCAUUUCAGUCCUCCACACCACUGCUUCUCUCUGUAACUCUUUCUCAGAGCUGCCUGGAGACGAACACCCGUAUUUUUCUUCUUUACAGCGGCGGCGAUCAGAGGGAGAGGUUAGGGUAUAUAGAUGUCCAGUGUGAGAGGCCACGCCGUGCCACCAUAAGAGUAAGACGUGGAGGCUUGAAGAGGCGGGCUUCUUGGUGUUAGUGAGGGCAACUUCUAACCUGUCAGGUGCUCUCUGCAAUGUUCGCGCGGCACGUUUAUAGUCUUCACAGCUGAGAAGCACACAGACCUCAACCUCCGGUUACGGUGGGCCUCUGCCAUGAACUUUAUUGGCCCUGGAUGCGCGCUACUGGAUCCGCGGGGGUGGGGGGCACCUCGAGACGCGUACGACUCACGCUCUCUACUGCGUCUGCUUCCCCUCUAGCCGAGAAAAAAAGGUCCUCGUGUUCUCUUGGAGCACCGCGUCACUCAUCUCUUCCCUCUUUCUGCGCAACGAUCUGACAUUUGACCCCGGCUGCAUCUCUCUCUGUGUGUGUGUGUGUAG
rnacentral:misc_RNA from 1 species